CAGUCGCCACGGUAAUACAGAGGGUGCAAGCGUUAAUCGGAAUUACUGGGCGUAAAGCGCGCGUAGGUGGUUCGCCAAGUUGGAUGUGAAAUCCCCGGGCUCAACCUGGGAACUGCAUCCAAAACUGGCGAGCUAGAGUACGGUAGAGGGUAGUGGAAUUUCCUGUGUAGCGGUGAAAUGCGUAGAUAUAGGAAGGAACACCAGUGGCGAAGGCGACUACCUGGACUGAUACUGACACUGAGGUGCGAAAGCGUGGGGAGCAAACAGGAUUAGAUACCCGGGUAGUCCCUGUCUCUUAUAC
rnacentral:rRNA from 1 species